UACGUAGGGGGCAAGCGUUGUCCGGAUUUAUUGGGCGUAAAGAGCGUGUAGGCGGCCUGACAGGUCUGCUGUGAAAACUCGAGGCUCAACCUCGAGAUGUCGGCGGAAACCGUCUGGCUAGAGUCCGGAAGAGGAGAGUGGAAUUCCUGGUGUAGCGGUGAAAUGCGCAGAUAUCAGGAGGAACACCGAUUGCGAAGGCAGCUCGCUGGGACGUAACUGACGCUGAGACGCGAAAGCGUGGGGAGCGAACAGG
rnacentral:rRNA from 1 species